rnacentral:rRNA from 1 species
UACGGAGGGUGCGAGCGUUGUCCGGAAUCAUUGGGCGUAAAGGGCGCGUAGGUGGCUUCUUAAGCGUGCGGUGAAAGCCUGGGGCUCAACCCGGGUCGGCCGUGCGAACUGGGGGGCUGGAGCACUGUAGAGGCAGGCGGAAUUCCGGGUGUAGCGGUGGAAUGCGUAGAGAUCCGGAAGAACACCGGUGGCGAAGGCGGCCUGCUGGGCAGUUGCUGACACUGAGGCGCGACAGCGUGGGGAGCAAACAGG